rnacentral:rRNA from 1 species
GUGCCAGCAGCCGCGGUAAUACGGAGGGUGCAAGCGUUAAUCGGAAUUACUGGGCGUAAAGCGCGCGUAGGUGGCUUGAUAAGCCGGUUGUGAAAGCCCCGGGCUCAACCUGGGAACGGCAUCCGGAACUGUCAGGCUAGAGUGCAGGAGAGGAAGGUAGAAUUCCCGGUGCAGCGGUGAAAUGCGUAGAGAUCGGGAGGAAUACCAGUGGCGAAGGCGGCCUUCUGGACUGACACUGACACUGAGGUACGAAAGCGUGGGUAGCAAACAGGAUUAGAUACCCCGGUAGUCC